rnacentral:misc_RNA from 1 species
UUGAUUUAUUUUUAAAUCGACUCAGACGACAUAUUAAACAAGUUUGGUUUGGUCCACCGGGGUGCCACCCGCCCGAAGGCAGGGUCUCCCCCGAGGCAACAUAGUCGGACGACAAAGGGUUUGAGACUGGCCCUCCCACAGAGCCGGAGCCCAGGGGGAGGGUUUGUUUCGUUUAAUGAUCCCUCCGCAGGUUCACCUACGGAGA